rnacentral:tRNA from 1 species
GGGUGGAGCAGCACGGUAGCUCGUCGGGCUCAUAACCCGAAGGUCGCAGGUUCAAAUCCUGUCCC